GCAGGAGGCGGCGCCGCGGGGACCGGCUGUCGGUCCGGGCAAUGAUCGGGUGUCGGUCCGGGCAAUGAUCGGGUGUCGGUCCGUGCCGGGACCGGCUGUCGGUCCGUGCAAUGAUCGGGUGUCGGUCCGUGCCGGGACCGGGUGUCGGUCCGUGCCGGGACCGGGUGUCGGUCCGUACCGGGACCGGGUGUCGGUCCGUGCCGGGACCGGGUGUCGGUCCGUGCCGGGACCGGGUGUCGGUCCGUGCAAUGAUCGGGUGUCGGUCCGUGCAAUGAUCGGGUGUCGGUCCGUACCGGGACCGGGUGUCGGUCCGUACCGGGACCGGGUGUCGGUCCCUCGGGCUCGGCUCGCGGUCUGUGCGUGUUCCCACCCUGGGACAUUUCCAUUCAUUUCCCUCUAGAAGCGCUGGCGGGCCCGCGGGUCACUGCCCGCUUCCAAACCCAGCAUCCCGGGGGUGUGGGUGUCCCCGCAGCCCCCCGGGUCCUGGUGCUGAGCUCCCGAGCUGGCCCUUGCCUGGAAAAACUGCUUGGUUUGAGUUCAUUUCAGAGCUGCAGAAUGAGUUUGGUGUGACCUGAUCUGGUUGUCCUGCAGUGAAAGGCAUGUGUUGUAUAAAUUCCAUCCAGCACUUGAGUUUGCAAGGACUACGGUUCUUCAGGCUGCUUCCUGGAUCCAAAGGUUUCUUUUAAAAAUGUAGUUUUGUAUUGCAAUAUUUGCACAAAGAAGUGAAAUCAAAAAUUCCCCCUUCCAAAGUAAAAAUGCAGUGAGCAGUAAAGAAAGCUUUCCAGAGGAAGAUGCAUUUGAGGGUGCCAGGCUCUUCCCUCCUGUGACCUCUUGAAGAAGGUUCUGCAUUCAGGGCACUGUGGCAAGGCUAUACCACUUCCUCCUCAGUGGUAUUCCGGCUGCAUGCCCUUUGGUACUGGAGGUUCUCCCUCUUGUGCCGUACCUCACUGCUGCUCAGAAGGUUGCCAGGGAUUUACUGCAAGGGCAAGGGUUAGCAUGGGGAUUUGUUCAGGUCACCUUUUAACCUAGAGCAUCUGCUUCUGACCUGACACUCUGGCUUACUUUGAGACAACUUAGUGAAGAAAAGAGUCCUACAUACAUAAUUAAACAAAAAAAGCAGGCAACAAUUAAGUAGUUUACAAUUCAGAAUUUUUCAUGGGAUUUUGACUUCAGCUGGUGCUGGCAAGGUCUGAAUGAAGUGUGGAUAGACAGCCUGUGGUGUGAAGUGCAGAUCAGUCAGACAGGGCUAAUGGGGUCCAGUCCUCUGUGCUGCCUCAGUGGAACUGCGUGGGGAAGGGAAGAAGUUGCACAGUUCAGGAUUUCUUCCUCUUCCAGCCAGGGGUACAACUUUAUGGUCCUGGGUCUGCUUUGGCAGCCAGGAGACUGGGAUUGCUCGCAGUGCUGAUGGAGCUAGCAUGAGCUUUAAAGAACGGAAAACUAGUAAACCCUACAGUCAUUUUUAAUGGAUCUGGAAACACAAUUCAGAAAUAUAUAAUCUCAUUGUGGCCCUUCAAUGUGCAUUGUUGUAUUUUCCUGUUACACCUGAUUAGCUCCUACCCGAGUCCAAAAUGCCUCUGAUGCUAAGAAUAUACAGCCUUGGGAAGCUACCACGGGCACUGCUGAGCAUCUUCAGAGUCUGCAGCUGUGUUUUACUAAUGCCUUUGAUCUGAAGCUUUGUUUUCCUAACAGCUAAUUUAUUAGUGAGCAAAUUGAGGCUUUUGCAUAUUAACAGACUUGCCAAGUAUCACUUUGGGGCCAGAACAGAGGCUAAUGGAAUUAUGAAGUCUCUCCUCCACACCCAAAAAACUGCCCCUCUUAUGAAGUCAAUUUAAUUAUUCUCUAGGAUGGAAUGUACAAGAUGCACAGUGUAUUGCAAUAUCAAAAGGGUUCAGUUAAUUUACCUCCGUUAACCUCUGUGUGACCCUGCUCUGGGGACUUGAGGAUCUGUCACUCUUCUUGUUGGCUCAACAUCUGUCCUGUUAAACCACACACUGGGAGGAUGCAUUAACCACUCAACACUCCUGCUAUUGCUGAUAUUUUGAGCUGAGAAGAAAUCAGUUUCAGGCUCUUUUCCCUAGAAGCAGGGUUGUGCAUUCCAAGCAGUGGCACACAAGUGCUGUAACCUCUUUCCUUCUGAGUCAGCGUAACCAGCACCUGUCAGUGAGAUUGCCCAUACACAAGAGCUGCUGUUCAGACCUUUGUUCCUGGCUAGUCAGUUAUUUCCAGCUAAUCAUAAGUCAUUGCUGAGGGAGGAAAAGCAGAAUGGUUGUAGUGCUUAAUAGCCCACAGUGACGUGUGAUGUGCUCUGUGUCUGGGCACGAACAUCCCCGAGUCCUGCACACAGCAGCUUGUACCCUGCAGGGAGCUCUGCUGGAUUUCCUGGGAAAUCCCAACUCCUUAAACAGCACAAAUGUGGCAGAAAUUGGAGUGACCUUUGUGCCAAUGACUCUUGGGAAUUUUCUUAGCCUCCAAGUAACCUGUAUGGGCAGUGCAGCUGGAUAUUGCGGCACACAGCUCAGCUGAACUGUCAGCUAAUUUCUUCAAAUAUGUCCUGCAGAGAAGAUUUAAAUUGUGUUACUGAAUGGAAAUCUUUGUGUUGGGAAUAUUUGAAAGAAGACUGGCACACACGCACACACUUAAAAAGACAUUUUUGGGGAGCCUGAGGGUUUGGGUUUUAUUUUAAAGAGUCUCAUCUACUAGUAAAAGUUUAUUUCUGUUUUAAACAUGCUUUUGAGUGGGAAGUCUGCACUGUCUGCACGUGAAACAAACAGUUUGAUUGCCUCCUUAGAGCCCAUUCUGCACAAACCUAUUCCUGUGCUUGGGAUUUCAAAGUGGGAGAGCUGCUCCGAGUGCCUGUGAGGGAGUGGGGGAGUGUGUGGACAGGAAAGCGUCCCCAUGGGAGUCACUCUGCAAGGGGCUCUCCCUAAAUGCUGGGGCUGAAUCUCAGGUAUCUUCUGUGAGCCUGUGUAUACACAAACAAACACACAAACUAGCUCCAGCAUGUGCAGUGCAAGAUCUGUGCACUUCCCUCUGUGCCUGCUUGCAGGUCCUUCCCCAGAAGUGCUGUGAAGGGAGCAAGGUGAGAAUCAACAGUGUGCAAACACUGCAUUUCCUGCUACCUGUCCUGCCAAACUCAGAUCUCCUUCUGGCCUCAGGGCUUGCACAGCUCACACGGGACUCACAGGGAAUGAUGUAUGUUCCAUACUGCUGCGGGGGCACAGUGUGUGCACAGCCCCUCCUCAGCCAGGGAAAGGGGCAAUCCUGGAUAACACAUCUGCUUACUGCUACACCUUCAUCCGAAAUAAUUUUAAAAGGAUGAUGUCAGUAAGAUGAAAACUCAGAUUUGAUAAUUAGGUUUUCAUUCCAAACCCACAGUCCCCAGCAGGGUCUUGUGAAGCACCACCGAUCUGUAUUAAUUCUUCAUGCAGUUUCAUGCUCUUCUGGUCCAGAGACAGCCCCCUGCACGUUCCGGUUCACAUGUGAAUUUCUGGGUAUUACUAUGCUGUUAUGGGUGUUCUGUCUGAGCAGAUAUCUGCCUGAUUCUUUAACAGAUUCUGCAGCACUGGGUUUUUCAGAGGCUGAGGAGAGAUGCCUUCCAAGUUAGACAGUUGAACUCAAUCUGUGAAGUCAGCCAUGGGGAAUCCAGGCUUCACUUGAAACCCAGCUCUUUGGCAUUAAAUCACAGAGAUGUUUCAAAGUGAAACUGGGAAUGUUGUGCAACUCUGCAGAGAGCCAAGUCAAGAACAAACUCCAGGUUUCAAUUUUCUCACUGUUUUUAGGCAAUUCAGUGGUUGUUUGUUCUAUAUCCAUGACUACAUGGCUGCAGACAUUAUCGUCAAAUGUGGCUCAUAUGAAGUACUUGCAGACAUGGCAAUAAUUUGAGGAUUGUCAGUCUCCUGGGCUGUGGGUGCCAAUCCUCUGGCUAGCUUGUCCUGCUCUCUAGAGCUGCCCCUCCAGUGUGCCUCACCCUGGGCUGGAGGGAAUUGCUUCAGCAGGGACUAGGAUUUGACUGAGCUGCAAAACAGUGAAAUCAGAAAAUCAAGGCUCGUAAUUUUGGAAUUCUGAAACGUGAUGACCUUCAAACUCAUUUCAAAGGAGGAGAAGAUAACCCUUUGUUGGAGUAAAUCCAACUUAAGCACUGAUAUGGGUCACUCACCCAAACUGCUACCUGUAAGAUUUUGGGUUGGAGGGUAGGGGACUCCCUCCACAGCGCUGAACCCGUUACCUCACUGCUCCUUGGCAGCCAGCGCUGCUUGUGCUGUGUCAGGGCUGUGAUGCACAGCCUCCAGGGACCAGCAGCGUGGGCUGGGUGGCUCCUGCAGGGAGAUGACAGUAUUCAAUCCCUUCAAUCACUCUGCCUUAUUUUGUGGGGUAAACCACAGAAUUCACCUUUUGGUAGGUAGAAGUGAGCAUUAGGGAGGUGCCAGUUGUCCCAAAUUCUUGGUUUUCCUUACCCAGCGAUUUGCCAGCGAUCCAAUCCGUGUCGUAGGAGAGUGAGGAGGUGUCAGUCACUGUCUCUGCUGACCUGGCUCUUUUUUACCUGGAUGUGCUGUGAACUGGAGCUGUUUUGGAUGAGAAGUGAUAGUUGAAGAGGGAGCAACAACCCUGUACCAACCUGAACCACACUCACAUAGCAACUCACUUGUGCAUUAAUGGGAUUCACUUUAGUGUGAAAUACAUCAGAGCAAAGAUCUUGCAGUGUUGGUGCUGAGUUUUUGUUGGAGUUUUGAAGCAUUUUCAGGAGUGUUUCAUGCUGCUCCCCCAUAGUCUUGCUCAAGCUGAUUAUGAAACCCUGACCUUGUGGGUGGUUUGCUCAGGAAAUGGGGCUCCCCCUGCUCUGGCCCAGUUCCUUGUGCAUGCAGCAGCUUCCCCGUGAGGCUGCAGCAGGUUCUGGUGCUGGUGUCAGCUCAAUUUCCUCCUCUUAACGGCAAGCCAAGGCCUAGAUCUCAAACAUUAGCAAUGAAACAACUCCUGGAAGAACCUAGAGCAGGAGUACAAGAGGACACAGGAGGGAUGCCAAGGCUACAGAAACAGGAGGCAGUAACUGUCCGGAUGGUGCUUGGGCAGGACUGCAGCCUCCAGUGCUGCUUCCCUCAGUCCAGCAGAAAGGAAGGAGCUCUAAGUGCUGGACACCACUGUUAGCCUUUUCCUGUAAAUAUUUCUGGGCUAUCUGCACAUCUGCCUGGUGAAGAACUAGCCAAACCCCAGGCAGAAAGAGGAGGUGAGCAAACCUGAGAUGAGCCUGCAGGGAGAUCCCAUGGAGCCCAGGUCCUGCUGCCUGGGAAUAGCAAGUUUGGGACUAGUUUGUAAAAAUGGGGAUCUAGACCUUCAGCCAGAGACUGACAAGAGCUCUGCAAGUAGCUCUUUUGAGUUGAGGGAGUGAAAGGAUAGCAAAAUAAUAUCCUGAAUGCAGGUAAAUCAGCAUCUUGUGAUCAGUUGAAAUGCAGGCCUUUAUCUGUGACUUGUCUGGCAUUUGAUGUGUCCUACAGAAAGUCAGUCUGUGAGCAUUGGGGAAGCCGUGUCCUUUGGACUAACCAACUUAACAAUUAAAACAACACCAGCUCAGGAUUUUGCUUGCCUUUGACAUUUGAGACUUUACCAUGCUCUUGGAUUAUAUUUUUCAGGAUUUUUCUCUGCAGCUUUGAGGCAGGGGAGCUUAAUUAAAACCUGAAAUGCAAGGUCACUCCAGCCUUUAUUUCAAAUUGAAAUCCCCCACAACAUGUUGCCUCUCAUACAAGUAGUGGCUGUGAGUCCCUGGGAGCAAGCAGGCUGUGCUGUUUGCAUUACAGCUGAGGUUGCCAGUUAGAGCUGACAGUGUUUUGCACCAGUUCUGGGCACAUGGACAGCUGGCACAGUUCAGCUGUGCUCCUGUUUUACACAUGUGUUUUGCUCUGCUCCUCAGAUCUGGGAGCUGCUGGAUCCAGCUGCAUCCCUGCAAUGCCAGUGCUUUGGAGCAGGAACACCAUAAGGCAGGGUCACAUCCUCACUGGAGAGAAGCUGGGACAAGAAUCACACCUCUGCAGAGCUGCACACCCUGUGCCACAGAGCUCCGAGCCUCUGGAGUCCUGCUGCAGGGAGCCAGGGUGAGUGCAGGGAGCCAGGGUCAGUGUCUUUGUUCCUGCUGUGUUUUUGGAGACUCCUCAGGAGAUGGAGUUUUCCCUUCUGGAGCAGUGUUCUCCUGAUCAGUCUGUGCCUCAGGAACCCCACAAGUACCCCAGUACUUCCCAUGUCAGAGGUCCUUUACCUUGCACGAGUUCCAAGGUGCAGCCCAUUUUGGCAGGGCCAGUGGCAGCCAGAGCAGCAGGGAGAGCUGAGCGCUGCUGUGCUGCCCACGGUGCUGCAGGAAAGAGAGGAUGGAGAGGAGGGGUAGGAGGCAGCAGAAACCUCACAGGAGUGGUGUCACCACGGGCUGCUAAGCCCAGCAAGAAGCCGUGGUGGCUGUCCACUGGCUCAGGGUUUGCUCAGGUGCAGCUCAAGCCGUGCCUCAGCUUUGCUCCUGUCCCGGCUGUCUGAUCACCACAGUUCUGCCUCAGCUUUCCCUUCCUUGCAGCAGCACUGUUCUCAUGUUAGGAGGGCGGGCUUUUUCCUUCAGACUGAAACUCACAGGUAUUAAAAGUCCACAGUAAUUUUUAAAAUAUUUUCUAGUAUUGUUAAACCAGUGGAUUGUCUCAUACAAUGUACUUUUUAUUGUCUUGACAAAGUAUCUUUCGUCCUCAUUUCCUCCUCAAGGCAUUUGAAUCUAAGUACAUUUAAGCACCUAUGUAUCUGUAUACAUUUAAAUAAAAGCUAAUGGAUAUUCCACUGUCACUGUAAA